rnacentral:lncRNA from 1 species
CACAGCCCUAGUUUUUACAUUUAAAAUUUUAUUUUUUUCCUGGAUAAGAAUUUACUAUUGUUUUUCUUCUGAUAGAAGAGGCGUCGGAGACUAGAUCGAAGUAUGAUAGGAGAACCAAUGAACUUUGUGCACACGGCUCAUGUUGGAACAAGAGAAAUGAUUAAUGGUUUAGCAUCUAAAUCCUGAAAAUCUGUAUUGCUAGAAGGCCUCACUUGUUUGCACUGAUAUUGCAGCAUA